UAAAAAAGGAAUUUUAAGUUAAUUUUCAUUCGAGUACAAAAUAAGUUUGAUUCCGAUUCCGAUUCUGAUUCCGCAGCUUAUAUAUGUAAAUCAAACACCUUGAAAAUGAAUUAGACUACGAUUUCCUAGUGAAUCAACUAUAAAUGAAAAUUUCCGAUUCCGCUCUAUUGUGAUUUUAGUGUGUGAUUCAAAUGGGCCCUAAGUGUAAUGAUUUUAAUUUUUUUAUGGUUCCAAAUAAUAAAAUCCAAUUAAUUCUGUCACUCUAUAUCAUUCUAAAUGCAUGAAUUAUAUUGUAAAAUCAUUGGAAUUGAAUUUUUCAUGUUUCUAUGUGUUAUGAUGCUUUAGUUUCACUGAUACAAGCACGCAAUGGUUGCAUCCACAAGCUUGCAUACUCGCAGUUUGAUUUCAUUUGCAUUCAUACCCCCGGGAAAAUAUAUUAACUGCUGUGAUUGUAGACAUUGCAAGAUUGUGAGGAUGCCUUGUCAUUUUUUCAAGAUGGAAGCAUGAAGGAGGGUGUGGGACUGAAUGUCAAGAAGGUUGGAA
rnacentral:misc_RNA from 1 species